GAUACGUCUUGUUUCUGUCAACUUCAACUAACAACUUUUAAAGCCUCCAUUGAUGUACAGUACUAAUUUCCUGGAAGUUAAUUUGGUAACACCCUACAUAGCGCUCUCCUUCUGUAGUUCCCUCUGGGGCAGUUGAGAUCUUUGUCUCUGAUUGCAUUCCAAAUGGGACCCUAUUCCCUACAUAUAGUGCACUACUUUAGACCAGGGCUGGCACCAUAUUCCCUACAUAUAGUGCACUACUUUAGACCAGGGCUGGCUCCCUAUUCCCUACAUAUGGUGCACUACUUUUGACAGAGCCCUAUGGGUAAUAGGGCACCAAUUUGGAACGUAGACUUGGUCUUAAUUCAUUACAUUCAGCAACAAAUUAGUUUGUCCCUCUAAUCAAGAGCAGGAAGUAGUGAUGUACUGUACUCUGGUUCCCCAGGAAUGACAUCUUUUCAUCUUUUCCAGAACUUCUCACCAUCCGUUUGUCGCCAAGAUUACUGGUGACAUUUGUUGAGCUGAGUUUCCUUCUUCCACCUCUUACUUUUCCACCGAAUUGUUGAUUCUACUCAAUUUAAAGAAUUGUGUCAGCCUUCAGCCCGCCUCACGAAUGGUCUAGGUCACAUCCAAACGGCGUCCUAUUCCCUGUGUAGUGUACUACAUUUGACGAGGACCAAUAAGAAAUAGGGUUCAUUUUGGGAUACACACCAGUCUGCUCAUAGGGCCUACGGACAUACCAGCAUAUUGGAAAAAUAUGGAUGUAAUUUUUCUGUCUCUGAAGUCCCUCUCCUUCCUCCAUCCCUCCUACUCCUCUAUGUGCUCAGUUUAGAAGGCAUUAGCUCACUAACCAGGCAUUUCAGUAGAAGCACAUUUGAACAAACAAACGGCAUGUCAAAUGGCAUGAGGUAACAAGCUCCGUUCUGGUUCUGCUGUGUUUAUUUAACCAGUCUGUUUGGUAUAGGAGUGGAGCGCUAGGCUAGCUAUACGGCUAGCUACACUGUACUGAGAGAGGAGGGUUAGGUCAUUGAUUAUUUAACCAGUCUGUUUGGUAUAGGAGCAGAGCACUAGGCUAGCUAUAUGGCUAGCUAUACUGUACUGACAGAGAGAAGGGUUAAGUAAUAUAUUAUUUAACCAGUCUGUUUUGUAUAGGAGCAGAGCGCUAGGCUAUCACAGCACAGAAUCGUUUCACUCAAAUUGAGUUUCUGUAUUGAAAAAAAUGUAUAACUACCUUAGACAAACAUCAACAAAUGUGGGAGCCUGUUGACCUGGCUGAAAAAUAAAUAGUUGUUUUGGACAGUGUACUUAGGGGUCCUCAAGAGGGUCAGCAGGAAAUGUGCUUUUACAGCUUGAUUUCUGCUAAUGCUGUUCUAGCAAGGCUGCUACUUCACAACCAGUCAGACCAAAGCUGCUACUUCACAAUCAGUCAGACCAAAGCUGCUACUUCACAAUCAGUCAGACCAAGGCUGUUACUUCACAAUCAGUCAGACCAAGGCUGCUACUUCACAAUCAGUCAGACCAAGGCUGCUACUUCACAAUCAGUCAGACCAAGUCUGCUACUUCACAAUCAGCCAGACCAAGGCUGCUACUUCACAAUCAGUCAGACCAAGGCUGCUACUUCACAAUCAGUCAGACCAAGGCUGCUACUUCACAAUCAGUCAGACCAAGGCUGCUACUUCACAAUCAGUCAGACCAAGGCUGCUACUUCACAAUCAGUCAGACCAAGGCUGUUACUGCACAAUCAGUCAGACCAAGGCUGCUACUUCACAAUCAGUCAGACCAAGUCUGCUACUUCACAAUCAGUCAGACCAAGGCUACUACUUCACAAUUGAAAUGUACUCCUCACUUAAUCCAAAUAACUUAGACUUAACGUUUGUUAUGAUAUCGAGUUUAACGUUACUAUUGUGCAGGAUGCGAACAGGUGACUACAAUGGAUUAAAGUGAGCAAAAAAUAAAUCAUUCUCAGAUUUUUUUGUUGUUGAGUGCUCCAAUUAGUUUUUACCUCAAAUUAGUUAUUUUUAACUUUUUUCUUGGUAAGCCAUUUUCAUGAUUUUUGUCAUUGUUGUUGAGCACCCCACCUUUCCUUAGUUUGCUGAAGCGUGAAGGACCACCUGAACUCUAAUAUCACUACUUAACACUGAUAUAUGUGACCACAUUGCUGGUGGAUCUAAUGGGUGUCCACAAGAUCACAGUUGCAAUGACUGAUGGAAGGAGAGAGAGAGUGAGAUGGAGAAAGAAAGAAGGAGAGAGACAUACAGAGGAGAGACACACACAGAGAAAGACACAUAGAGAGAGAGUGAGAGAGAGCGAGAGGGAGUGAAAGAGAGAGAGGGUGAGUGAAAUAGAGAGAGUGAGUGAAAUAGAGAGAGAGAGUGAAUGUGUGAGAGAGAGAGCAAGUGAAAGAGAGUGAGAGAGAGUCAGAGAGUGAGUGAAAAAGAGAGUAAAAGAUAGAGAGAGAGCAAGUGAAAGAGACAGUAAAAGAGAGAGACUCCGAGAGAGUGAGUGAAAGAGAGAGUAAAAGAGAGAGAGAGAGUGAAAGAGAGAGAGAGAGUGAAAGAGAGAGAGUAAAAGAGAAACAGAGCAGAGUCCCUGGGAGGUUUACACUUGCACACCAAACAUUCCACACAUUCAUUUUGUGCCACCUUCUACUCACCUUGCCCUGUGAGGAUGCCCAGAUUAAUCAUGUUAAGAGUUAGACUUCGCCUUCCCUCAUCGAGCUGCAACAGAUAAAUUACAGGCUGGCUUCAGACCCUGACUGACUGACAGGCCUAGACCAGAGGAGUCCUUCCAUUCUUUAUUUUAUUUUUCCUUUAUUCUUCCUGUGUUUCUGUCUCAUCCUCUCCCCUUUCUUUACAG
rnacentral:lncRNA from 1 species